GAUGAACGCUGGCGGCGUGCCUAAUACAUGCAAGUCGAGCGAACAGAUGAGGAGCUUGCUCCUCUGACGUUAGCGGCGGACGGGUGAGUAACACGUGGAUAACCUACCUAUAAGACUGGGAUAACUACGGGAAACCGGAGCUAAUACCGGAUAAUAUAUUGAACCGCAUGGUUCAAUAGUGAAAGACGGUUUUGCUGUCACUUAUAGAUGGAUCCGCGCCGCAUUAGCUAGUUGGUAAGGUAACGGCUUACCAAGGCAACGAUGCGUAGCCGACCUGAGAGGGUGAUCGGCCACACGGGAACUGAGACACGGUCCAGACUCCGACGGGAGGAAGCAGUAGGGAAUCUUCCGCAAUGGGCGAAAGCCUGACGGAGCAACGCCGCGUGAGUGAUGAAGGUCUUCGGAUCGGAAAACUCUGUUAUUAGGGAAGAACAAAUGUGUAAGUAACUAGGCACGUCUUGACGGUACCUAAUCAGAAAGCCACGGCUAACUACGUG
rnacentral:rRNA from 1 species